UCCUGGAUAUGGGGGUGACACCGUGCUUUGCCGUCCACCUGCUGAGUCCUGCGCGGACUCUCUGAAGAUGUUCCAUAAAAACGUUUCCAGGGAAAAGCCUUAUUUUUGGUAAUAUCAUCUCUGCCUACACUGCCAGAGUUCACUGGAUAAUUGCUGAAGUCUAUGAAAAGAAACACCAGGAGCAAAAGUGUGUUAGGUUUGAACACCUGGGACGUUUGGGUUGGAAAUCAGGGGAAACGUAACCUGAGAACGUGAGGGAAGGUGCGGUUUAGGACAAGGCUGCGAGACUGCCUGGAAGACCCUAGGGGAGCCACGAGGCUGGGGCCCACGGGGCACCCGGGAAGCCUGGCCGCCCCCGACUGUCUCAGCCUUGGGUGUUAUCGCAUCACAGGCUCUUUUCUGGUUUCCAUGGAUCAUGGAAGCUAAUAAUUGGGGUUAGGAACGCUUCGCAAGUUCUGUAAUCCCACCACUCAGGGAACAGGAGGAUAAAUCCCAUCUCCAGCCCCAGGACCACCCCCACACCCCCAGGACCCAUGGACAGGACAGGUGCACAGCUGGGCGGGCUUGUGGGAACCUGACCCUAAGUGCUCUGGCCACCGAGAGGAGACUGACAGCGCCCCCUGCAGGAGACUGUGCCAGAAAGCCAGCUCCUCGGCUCAGCUCAGGUCACGCGUCCGCGAGGUCUGUCAGUCUCAGUAUUUGCUUCCUGUAUACUGAAGCCAUGGUUAGACAUCCAACCUCAUCUGAAAUUGAGACAGCUUCCUGUGGGGGAUAUUUGUGUCACCAAAAGUCCCUCUCGCUCUUGGAGGUGUUUCUUGCCUUGGGCUUUGACACAAUUUGGGCUGCUUUGUUGAGAGUUCUCGUGGCCCUUUCUUCAGCCCUUUAUUCUAGCCCCCUGUGUUCUUGUACAGAAGGCAUAUCACGUUUAGCAACAUGCAGCUGACUUUUGCAUUUUUAUCCGAAUUAUAAUCUUUGUCUUUUACUUGGAUAGUUUAGUCCAUUUACAAUGAAAACAAUUUCUGAUAUAUUUGGCUCCCAUCUGCAAUCUCAUUUCAUUUUUUGUUUGUCUCACCUCUGUUGAAUUUCUC
rnacentral:lncRNA from 1 species